rnacentral:rRNA from 17 species
UCGCACUUCGACAGCG